rnacentral:misc_RNA from 1 species
UAACGUCAUUCCCCUAAACUUCCCAUGUCAAAGGCUGGUAAGGUUCUGCGCGUUGCUUCGAAUUAAACCACAUACUCCACCGCUUGUGCGGGCCCCCGUCAAUUCCUUUGAGUUUUAAUCUUGCGACCGUACUCCCCAGGCGGAGUGCUUAAUGCGUUAGCUGCGACACUGCAUGUGUUUACACGCAACAUCUAGCACUCAUCGUUUACGGCGUGGACUAC